UCUACGUAGCAGAGUUUGAUCCUGGCUCAGGACGAACGCUGGCGGCGUGCUUAACACAUGCAAGUCGAACGGUGAAGCCCUUCGGGGUGGAUCAGUGGCGAACGGGUGAGUAACACGUGGGUAACCUGCCCUGCACUCUGGGAUAACUCCGGGAAACCGGGGCUAAUACCGGAUACGACUUCUGAGGGCAUCCUCGGGAGUGGAAAGUUUUUCGGUGCAGGAUGGACCCGCGGCCUAUCAGCUUGUUGGUGGGGUAAUGGCCUACCAAGGCUUUGACGGGUAGCCGGCCUGAGAGGGCGACCGGCCACACUGGGACUGAGACACGGCCCAGACUCCUACGGGAGGCAGCAGUGGGGAAUAUUGCACAAUGGGCGAAAGCCUGAUGCAGCGACGCCGCGUGAGGGAUGACGGCCUUCGGGUUGUAAACCUCUUUCAGCAGGGACGAAGCGCAAGUGACUGUACCUGCAGAAGAAGCACCGGCUAACUACGUGCCAGCAGCCGCGGUAAU
rnacentral:rRNA from 1 species